UACGUAGGGGGCUAGCGUUGUCCGUAAUCCUUGGGCGUAAAGCGCGUGUAGGCGGUCCGGUAAGUCCGCUGUGAAAGUCGGGGGCUCAACCCUCGAAUGCCGGUGGAUACUGUCGGGCUAGAGUGCGGGAGAGGCGAGUGGAAUUCCUGGUGUAGCGGUGAAAUGCGCAGAUAUCAGGAGGAACACCAAUUGCGAAGGCAGCUCGCUGGAACGUAACUGACGCUGAGACGCGAAAGCGUGGGGAGCAAACAGG
rnacentral:rRNA from 1 species